CUACGGGGGGCUGCAGUGAGGAAUUUUGCGCAAUGGGGGGAACCCUGACGCAGCAACGCCGCGUGAGUGAUGAAGGCUUUCGGGUCGUAAAGCUCUGUCAAGUGGGAAGAACCUAUGCAGUGUUAAUAUCACUGUAUACUGACGGUACCACUGAAGGAAGCACCGGCUAACUCCGUGCCAGCAGCCGCGGUAAUACGGGGGGUGCAAGCGUUAUUCGGAAUCAUUGGGCGUAAAGGGCACGUAGGCGGCUUGGUAAGUCAGAUGUGAAAGCCCGGGGCUUAACCCCGGAAGUGCAUUUGAUACUGUCAGGCUUGAGUAUGGGAGAGGGAAGUGGAAUUCCUGGUGUAGAGGUGAAAUUCGUAGAUAUCAGGAGGAACACCGGUGGCGAAGGCGACUUCCUGGACCAAUACUGACGCUGAGGUGCGAAGGCGUGGGUAGCAAACAGGAUUAGAUACCCCGGUAGUC
rnacentral:rRNA from 1 species